UGGGGAAUCUUGGACAAUGGGGGCAACCCUGAUCCAGCGACGCCGCGUGGGUGGUAAGGCCUUCGGGUUGUAAAGCCCUUUCACCGGGGAAGAUGAUGACAUUACCCGGAGAAGAAGCGCCGGCUAACUCCGUGCCAGCAGCCGCGGUAAGACGGAGGGCGCUAGCGUUGUUCGGAAUCACUGGGCGUAAAGGGCGCGUAGGCGGGCCGGUCAGUUGGGGGUGAAAUCCCGAGGCUUAACCUCGGAACUGCCCUCAAAACUACCAGCCUUGAGUCCGGGAGAGGUGAGUGGAAUUCCUAGUGUAGAGGUGAAAUUCGUAGAUAUUAGGAAGAACACCAGUGGCGAAGGCGGCUCACUGGCCCGGUACUGACGCUGAGGCGCGAAAGCGUGGGGAGCAAACAGGAUUAGAUACCCGUGUAGUCC
rnacentral:rRNA from 1 species